AGGAGAAGCCUGACGGCAGCCACGCCGCGUGAGCGAUGAAGGCCUUCGGGUCGUAAAGCUCUGUUGUUAGGGAAGAACAAGUGUCGGUCAAAUAGGGGGGUACCUUGACGGUACCUAACGAGAAAGCCCCGGCUAACUCCGUGCCAGCAGCCGCGGUAAUACGA
rnacentral:rRNA from 1 species